rnacentral:rRNA from 1 species
UGUAGCGGUGAAAUGCGUAGAGAUUGGGAAGAACACCGGUGGCGAAAGCGCUCUGCUAGGCCGUAACUGACACUCAUGGACGAAAGCUAGGGGAGCGAAUGGGAUUAGAUACCCCAGUAGUCCUAGCCGUAAACGAUGGAUACUAGGCGUUGCUCGCAUCGACCCGAGCAGUGCCGUAGCUAACGCGUUAAGUAUCCCGCCUGGGGAGUACGCGCGCAAGCGUGAAACUCAAAGGAAUUGACGGG